CAGCAGUGGGGAAUAUUGCACAAUGGGCGCAAGCCUGAUCCAGCCAUGCCGCGUGUGUGAAGAAGGUCUUCGGAUUGUAAAGCACUUUCAGUUGGGAGGAAGGGCACURACUUAAUACNUUNSUGYUUUGACGUUACYGACAGAAUAAGCACCGGCUAACUCUGUGCCAGCAGCCGCGGUAAUACAGAGGGUGCAAGCGUUAAUCGGAAUUACUGGGCGUAAAGCGCGCGCAGGUGGUUUGUUAAGUCRGAUGUGAAAUCCCCGSGCUCAACYUGGGAACUGCAUUCAAAACUGWCAAGCUAGAGUAUGGUAGAGGGUGGURGAAUUUCMUGUGUAGCGGUGAAAUGCGUAGAUAUMGGAAGGAACACCAGUGGCGAAGGCGACCACCUGACAAAACKACACUCAG
rnacentral:rRNA from 1 species